CAGAGUUCAUGCCCUUCGGGGUAGACCUCCCACCCUUGUGUAUUUAUACCUUUGUUGCUUUGGCAGGCCGCCAGGCUUUGUCCUGGCUACCGGCUCCGGCUGGUACGUGCCUGCCAGAGGACCCCAAACUCUGAAUGUUAGUGUCGUCUGAGUACUAUAUAAUAGUUA
rnacentral:misc_RNA from 1 species